CUUGCUUCCCUUCUUCCCUGAUGCUUCCCUUGGGGUGGGGUGUCUGCAUGCACAGUGGCCUGCCAGCGCUUGGGAGGGGAGUACACACAGUAUGCAGUGUUUACUGGAGUUGUAGGCAUGCUCACUUGAGGCAUUCUUCCCUUAGCCAAAUGUCCGUAGGAGGUCGUAUACCAGUUAAACUAUGCCAUUUUGCCUCCUAAUGCACAUGCGUUGAGCCCAAUCGCUCAACUCCUGAGAGCUUAUCAAGAAGCUACUGAUCAACAGUUUCAGGUUUUUCCUAUCUAUAGGGAGCCUGCCUGUCCCUGGUGCCAGCUGCAAUCAAUUAUUAUUUUAGAGAGACAGUUAACAACCACCUGACCAUCACCUGAUAGCCUGACAGUCCAGGUUGGUGUGGGGGGGUGGAGCUUCUCCUGCCUUGUUCCUGCCUGACUAGCUGCCUACUUUAACAUUUUUAACGAUAAAGAAUGUGAGUUCCAUGAGGAAGAGGGCAGGGAUCUUGAUUUUGUUCCCUGCUGUAUUCCCAAGGUGUAGAAUGAAGACUGACACAUAACCAUGCCUGCUUUCUCUUCACCUUCCACCAUGAUUGGUAGUUUCCUGAGGCCUCCCCAGCCAUGUCCCCUGUACAGCCUGUGGAACUGGGAGCAGCUGCAAAGGAACACCACAAUGAUAUUCCACUGGAAAAAGGGCCAAACCACCUGAUCAUAAGAACAUCUUAUCAAUAUCCUCCUGGGCAGCAAGCCAUACUGCCCAGCUCCCUCCCACCCAUACCUCAGCUGCAACCAGGAUCACCCCCAUUGCUGGACAUCACAUCCAACACUGGGCUUCAAUUCGUGGGCUAAACUCCCCUGUCCAGGCGGCCACCCAGCAACACAUUGAUACCAUCCUUCUCCUCUGCCAAGUCCAGUACCAGUGCCUCCAGGAAAACAACUCUGAAGUCCAACACCCACUGCUUCAAAACCCAAACCCUGAUUACAGCUCCCCUAUUCGGCAGGAAGCAGCCAGAUAAUCAACAAUGCCCCUCUUCCUUUUAUACUAAAGUAGAAGGCAAGAAUGUGAGUCCAAACCACCAUUUAGUAAGCACCCUGCUAUUUUUCAGACCUUGGUCAAAGUGAAACAUUCCACGGGGGUUCGGGCCAUGAGAAAAAUCUUGCCUAAUCGUCGUAACACAAGACGGACAAAGGUCCAACUAAAGAAACUUUCCUAUCAUAUCUUGCUGGGCAAAGUUUCAAGAUACACCACAAUGACAUCCCACUGGAAAAAGGACCAAACAGCCUGAUCAUAAAAACAUCUUAUCAAUAUCCUGCCGGGCAGCAAGCCAUACUGCCCAGGCCCCUCCCACCCCUACCUACAAGCACCCCAGCCUGUAAGCAGCGGUGGGCUCUGGCAUUAAGCGGGUCCCCCACUUCCACAGGUGUCUGCAGUAUUCCUGUGUUGCUGUUUGAGCCACCCCCUCUCUGUGUGUCUUUCUUUCACCCUCACCUUCCCUUCAAAACCUGACAAUCUUACCUCAUCAUUUUUUUUGUUAUUGGAUUCACAGGGGCUCUUCGUCUUCUCCCCAUUGGUGCUGGAAGUUGGCUGUUCCAUGAUUCUGGUUGGUUGUAGAAUGUCUAUAGUAGGCUCCUGUAGACUGCAGACUUCCACAGCUAUGUUGAAGCUUCCCAGUGGGAUGUCCCAGAGCUCUUGCCCUCCCUAUAUAUACCCUCCUGGUGACAAGGCAAAGCCACACCCUUGAGCUUUGUUUGAUCAUACAGGCAGUGUCCCAGCCAAUGGCGGUCCUAAGGUGGCUUUGACAUCACAAAGCCCCACUGCUGACCACUCCUUGGGCUUGUGGGGGAGGGGUGACAGGGAUGUAGAGGAAACCAAAUGCGGUUGUUGUUUCAGCAUCCCCUGAAGAUGCAUCCCAAACCGAUCUGCCGCCGCUCCUCAUUUCUCCAUGUUUAAUGUUCAUGGUUCACAUGGAAGUCAGAGGAUGAUUCCUUCAAGCCCUUCCCCACAGCCAUUCCUAUGAAGUGAUUCAUUCUUUUGUCUUCCAGCCCUCACCAUGACUUAGUAUUUUAGAUGUCUCACCUCAAAUCCCCCAAGCUAGUGUGGCUACAUUUAAUUAUUAGUUAUUAAUUACUAGUUACAUUUAAUAAUUAAUAAUUAAUUAUCCCAUUUCCCUCCUACAGUUCCUUCAUAUGCACCUUGAAGACCAUUUACUUUUAGGCUACUGCCAGGCAAAUUUCAACCCAUGUUAUUUUACUCAAUGUCCGUGUAGUUCUUUUAAAUUUCCUAUUUCCAAUCUGCAAUAAUGGCCUUCAGUCUGUCAAAAUUUUAGUGAAUAAACAUUCUUUACUGUGUAUCCUAGUCUUGUUUCAAAUGAGGGGUGUAUUUUCAUAGUAAAUGUAGUCUCCCAACAUGAAUUCUGCCAGUAUGUGGGUGGGGGAAGGAGUGGAUAUUCAAGUGCUGGAAGUUGUUCUCAGUGUUUACAUGCAGGAUGCUACAAUCUAAGACCCACAUGUGCACCAGUAUGGGCAUAGUUAUACUUUGUACUGAAGAUUGUGUCCAGUGCAAAAAGAAAAAUGCAUUCAGUUUGG
rnacentral:lncRNA from 10 species